rnacentral:rRNA from 1 species
UGCAAGUCGAACGGUCUUUCUAUGGAAGCUUGCUUCCACUGAGAAGAUAGUGGCGAACGGGUGAGUAACACGUGGGUAACCUGCCCAUAAGAGGGGGAUAACAUCCGGAAACGGGUGCUAAUACCGCAUAGUUUCUUGAUCGCAUGAUCGGGAAAGGAAAGACGGCCUUUGUGCUGUCGCUUAUGGAUGGACCCGCGGCGUAUUAGUUAGUUGGUGAGGUAACGGCUCACCAAGACGAUGAUACGUAGCCGACCUGAGAGGGUGAUCGGCCACAUUGGGACUGAGACACGGCCCAAACUCCUACGGGAGGCAGCAGUAGGGAAUCUUCCGCAAUGGACGAAAGUCUGACGGAGCAACGCCGCGUGAGUGAAGAAAGGUUUUCGGAUCGUAAAACUCUGUUGUCAGAGAAGAACAAGUUGGAGAGUAACUGCUCCAGCCUUGACGGUAUCUGACCAGAAAGCCACGGCUAACUACGUGCCAGCCGCCGC